rnacentral:sRNA from 1 species
UACCCUAGACCAAAGAAUUCCUACUUAAUGAUGAAGCUGAGGAGAGGAAAGCCACUCCCAUGCUAUGAGCCAAUCCCUCUGACCAAGAAGCUAAUCCCAUCACACAUCCAGCACAUCGGACAAGACCUACACAAGAAAAUGGGGCUGUCUCUUUAAGCACAGAUGUAUGAAGAAUGGCUCUUUUUCCUCUAGAAUUCCAGUGCAUUAAGGUUCUAGAUCACUCAGUUCUAUCUCCUUAAGCCAUGAAGGGCUCACUUGCAGCUAGAAUAACUUGUUAAGUUUGAGCCGAUCAGAAUAAGGUGUCAUUCUACAGAAUCUCAUGUUUGGAGGUGUAGCUGCCCCUUACCACUCCGGUACGCCAGUUCAACAUUCUGUCCCUGUCCAGAAACACUGUCCUCACUUGUUCAACACUUAAAACUCUCCAAAAUUCACACAAAAUGUAGGAAGGUUGUUAUGGUUACCUAUUGCUGAAAGCACAUAUUACUCUAAAAGUAAAUGGUUUUGAAAUGAUAGAGUCAGGUUUUGUUUUGGUUUUUUGUUGGUUUUUUUUCUUUCCAUGGCAUAAGAACUUUGGUGAGUCUCAGCUCAAUUAGACUUCUGCUCCACAUACAGUACCAUCAACAGCAGAGUGGACUUGAGCUUGGAACAGACAAUAGAUGGAAGGGCGAGAGAUGGAUAAGGUGGUAGAUAACUCCUCUAGGAUAUGAUUAUCUACAUAUUGGCCAUGACUUUAGAAGAACUGUCUGUCAACACGUCCAGCAUCACACAGCUUCCUGGUGCUUUAUAUUCCAAAUGCAGAGCCUGCAAACACCAUUCUUAAGCCUGCCCUUCAUCCUUAACUGGUCAGACCAAUGAUGUUUAACCAC